rnacentral:rRNA from 1 species
UGCCAGCCGCCGCGGUAAGACGGAGGGUGCAAACGUUGUUCGGAAUCACUGGGCAUAAAGCGCACGUAGGCGGCUGGGUCAGUCUGUUGUGAAAGCCCUCGGCUCAACCGGGGAAUUGCAAUGGAUACUGCCCGGCUUGAGGACGGUUGGGGUGAGUGGAACUCCUGGUGGAGCGGUGAAAUGCGUAGAUAUCAGGAGGAACACCAGUGGCGAAAGCGGCUCACUGGACCGUAUCUGACGCUGAGGUGCGAAAGCUAGGGUAGCGAACGGGAUUAGAUA